rnacentral:lncRNA from 1 species
AAGCCAACGAUCUAACAAGACUUACGAUUACAACUCUGUUUGGAAAGCUGGAAGAACAUCAGCAAGCAUUGGAAAGUCUUGAAAAAUAUGAGAACAAAAGUAAGAAAGAAAAGGAGAAGAAAAGAGACAAAGAGGGAGAGAAGAAGCCAAUAGUUCUUGUGGCCUCCAGCUCUAAGUCCUCACGAAAAGAGCAAAGUGACAAUGAUUCUAGUAGUGGCAAAGAUUCGGAUGAUGAAGAAAUGGGACUGUUUGUAAGGAGAUAUAACAGAU